rnacentral:lncRNA from 1 species
GAGAUAAUACAUAUAUGCUCAGCAUAAUGCCUGACACAUCAUAAGCGCUCAAGCAAUAGUAGCUAUUAUUAUUAAGUGCAAAACAAUCAUGUCACAUCUUAAUGAAUUCAGUUCAGUUCCACAACAUUCAUGGAGCACCUGGUGUGUGUCAGGAACCGUGUCUGGCUCUGGGGGAGGUGGGAAGAGAGAAACAAUCCUGCCUUCAAGGAGCUCACCGGAGACAGCCCAUCAGUAAAUUAUGACGAUACCGUGAGCGAUCUAUUAGGGGUGUGAAGAGCAUAGACAUACCUAAGAAGGGUCAGUGCCAGUUUCUGGAGGAGGAGCUGCCUCAGCUGAGACCCCGAAGAGAACAGGAAUCUGCCAGGUGAAGAGAUGGAGGGCUGAAGGGCCAGAGCAGUGAAGCCGGGGGCUCCGGAAGAGGGGACCGCUUGAGCAGAGGGUUAUGCAGUACUCAGGAUGUAGCAUGAAUUGCCUCAAGGAGAUGGAAGGGUCUAGGGCAUAAGGACUCAGGGCUUGCUGUAGGAGAGCUGGGUUCAAGACCGACCUCCUUCUCUUCCUAGCUAUUGACAUGUGGCAAGUCCUCCCCGCAGAGACUUGAUUUCCUCAUCAGUAGAACAGAGAUAACCCAGCCCCUUCACGGGGUAAGGGCCAUGAAUACAGGCUGCUGUGUUUGCGCAGCGACAGGUCUGUUUGUGGCUGAGUGUCUUCUGCUCCAGCAGGGCCUCAGGCCCCGGGCGCCGAGACUUCUGGGCCCUCAGAAGGCGUCACACCAGCUUCCCGAGCAGCGCACUGGCCGCGGGCCGGGCACUGUGGGACUCACCUCGUGAGUCUCACCCAGUCAGACUUCACCGCGCGGAUGCUGAGCAGCAUCCUCAUCCUCACCCAUGUGGUCCAGGACAGAGGGGUUCCCAUCCCUCGGAAACCCCUGGGCAAACCUGGAUGAGUUGCUCACCCAACAAACGGGGACAUAGGAAUUUACCCAGAUCCAGUCCUGCUGCAGGCCAGUGGCUGAGCUGGAAUCUGAACCCAAGCCGUUUGCCCUCUGACGGAGCUCUUAGCCACUGCACUGUUACUUAAACCAAUAAAUGGUGACCUUUCGAAACAGAGGAAUCACCGAACUCUGAUUCAUUCCCAAACAGACCGAUUAGUCUUCCCUGUGUCUAAACUCACUAAUUCUCCUUCCGCACAAUGGGCCCGGCACUCAGUCUUGGACGAUGACACCCAUAGUUCGAAUACUUCAAAUAUUCUCCUGCGAAUAGACUGUAAACAGAGAAGUGAGUAGGGGGAGGAGAGGAAGGGAGCGGGGGCAGUGGGAUGAGGCCACAGCCACCUGCACCUGUCCUCCUGGGACACAGCCGAGUGCAGUCUCGGGCCCUCUGCCCCCAUCACCUCGCCUCUCUCGGGAGCCAGGGGCACCAGAGCCACACACUUGGCAGGCCCCCUCGAGCCCUGGCAGUUGGGCAGCAGCUGUGAAAUGAGAGUUUGGGAGGGACCCUGAGCUGAGCAGCGAGCAGAAGCCAUCAGGACCUUCGGUUUCCUUUCCAGAGCACAUCUGAACCAGCUGCAUGCGGUUGCAGGGCUGGCGGCCCACAAUGGAGGGUGAACUGGAUGCCUGCUGGGCGACAGGCAGGCGCGAUGACACAGGCCAGAGUAUUAUUUACUCCCUGGGAACAGGUGCUGCCCGGGACUUGCCGUCCUCUCUUGCCUGACUCUCCUCUGCCCACAUGUCCCGGCCCUACUCGGAGGCAGCUCCCUCCAUGCCCUGAGCGGGCCCCCGCCCCAGCCCUUGGCAGCAGGCGCCUGGGGGGUGCCAGCGGUGGGCCGGCUCCCCUGGAGACAUGCGCUCUCACUGGAAUCGGCUCAUUUUACAUAAACUGUUGGUGCAGAUGUCAGGUGAUAGCAACUUUCCGGCCCCAGUUAACCUGCCAUUGCCCUGUCCGUGCCCAUGCAGAUGCAACAGAAGGAGCAGAGGGAAAGCCAUGGAAGAGCGAGGAGAAAAUAAUACUGCACGCAAGCAUCUUUGUGGACUGGCAAGUUCGCCUCUGGAAAAUGCCCUCGACUGCGAGCCAGGAGCGGCUUUUCUAUCAGAGGGAAACAAACAACCUGCAGGCGAGCUCCCACUGCCGCCCGCUGCUCUUUCCUCCCUGAUUAUGUGUUAUUUCCUUCAAGCUCUGGUUGGUAAACACGCAGCACUCUUCUGUUGAUUCACACAACAAUACAGAAGGAGGUUAAGGCAUUUCUUUGCACAGUUUGAUUGAGGACAAAUACAGAGGGGAAGUGAGUGAGCAGAAGGCCUGGAGGUCUUGUUUGGCUCAUGAGCUGGACCACAUGCUGCAUUCACCCCAAGUCCUUCUUCCCGAACCCCAGGACCGUCAGAACACAUCAGUGCCAACUGUGAACCAGCUUCUUGGCCCCGGGACGCAGUGGGGGAAAAACGCUCCCAACCCGGCAGUGGAGGGAAGACAAAUAUACGGAUAAUCCCAGCAUGUGGCCCAGGGUCACAGGGCCGUGAGUGACAGAGGCACAUGCUGUGGGUUAGCAGAGAGCAAGACUGCACUUGGCCGAAGAGCUCAGGAGAAAACGGCCACGAGGUUUCCUGGUUCAGACCCUCAUCCUGUGCCCUGGACCACAGAAUCUGCGUCUGCACCGGCAUCCUGCUUGCAAGCUCGUCCCGCUCCGAUGCACCUCUCAUUCUGCUACCAGAGGGGUCUUUCUGACUUACAACUCCAGCAGUUCUCCACUCAUCGAAAACGCUUCAUUGAACUCCAUCACUCCAGGAUAAAGGCCAGCAUGGCCAUCAUCAUCUAGCACCCGCCCCCCCAGCUCCCCUCCCCAGCCUCAUUUCUCAAACUCAUCUUUUCAGAUGGUUUUUACUCCAGUAGUGCUGAACCGUAUGCCAUUUCGCCUUCCUUAGGUCGCCUCCCUGAACUGAACUCCUAUUCAUCCUUCAAAACUCACCUUCCAUAUGACCUCCUCCAAGUAUUGAUCGUGGUGUCUUCUGUGUUGUCUCUCUCUGUCUCGUUCUUCUUAAACUUCUUUGGAUUGUAAUGCUUUAUCUUCCUGUUAAUGUUUACCAAAAGACUGGAGCUUCUGAGGGUCCCAGGCUGAAAUCCUACUUCUUCCCAGAGGCCCCAUCUCCUGCAGCCAGCCCAGGCCGAUCUUGCCUUCUGCUGACCUCCCGUCUCCCGCGGGACCGCCCGGGUACCAGUGCGUUCCACACUGCACUGGCCUCUGGGGGUUUCUGUGUCAGCAGCUUUUCAUCUCAGUGCGAAGGCUGGGAACAUGCUCCUGCUCCCCAGACAGGAUCUAGGACAAUGCCAGGCACGGGGCAAGAAGCCAACUGACAAGUCCUUUUAUUCCAAAGGUGUGUUGAUUCACAGCUGUAGUGUCCUCUGUUCCACUACCUGCUCCUUUUGUGAUCUUGGACAAGUCACUUCUCUCUCUUUGUACUCCAGUUUCCUCAUCUCCGAAGUAACAAAAUUGGACUUCUGUAAUAAUAUCUAACGUUUCCACUGUGUUUACUCUGUGCCGGGCAUUGCUAUAGUGCCUUACAUCUACUACCUGAUUGAUUCCUCGCAACAACCCUGGGAGGCAUCCACUCUCACGAUCUCAUUUUAUAGAAACAGGAAACCAAAGCACAGAGAGGGUAUGUAGUGUUCCCAAGGCCACACAGCCAGUAAGUGGCAAAACCUGGAUUUAAAGGCAAGCAGUCUGUUCCAGAGUCCAUGCGCUAACCAUUACAUGCAAUGCACCUCCUCUUAGAUUUCUCUUUACGGUGUGGGUGUCUCCUUCAUUCAUUUCACAGCUGUUUACUGGUCCUCUGCUCUGUCCCAGUCACAGGGGCCAGAGUUAGAAAACCCAAUAAGCCCCUGAUUCUGCCCUUGGGGUCCCCCGUGGCGUGGUGCGGAGUGGUGGCUGAGGACCCUCAAGCCUUCUAGGUGUCCUUCUGGAGGGCUGGGCCGGCUACAGCACAAGCACCUCCACCACAUGUCCCCCAAAGUUGGAUUUUUCAGUGCUGUUUUAUUUUCUCGUGGAUUCACACUAUAACUCAGAGUGUCUUUAUCAGGAAUGGGGACUAAGGCCCCUUGACCUGUGGGUGCCCCUGUCCUGGUAUCUGUCAAGUGGUUUGUUGGACUCAGCUGCCUCGUUCCAGGCCCCCCACAACGCAGCUGCAGCAUCACCCUCCACAGGACCCCCCCCCCAGCGGGGGCUGAAGACUCUCUGUUCCCACAAACGUGCCCCUCACUCUUCCUCCUUCCCGUGGUGUCUGCCCGCCCGUCAUGGGCCCGCUCAUCCUUCUUGGCUCAUCACAGAAGCCACCUCCAUGAAGCCUCUCCUGGUUCCCCUCACCAGAUGCAAUCGCUCUGUCCUUGCUCUUCCGUGCGGAGUUCGAGUUCCUCGCAGGCAAGAACACGUUUUAUAGGCAAUUGUCCAAAGCGUGCAAUACAGCAACUCCCAGUGCAGAGCGGAAGGCACCAUUCCCUGGGCUGCAAAGCCCUAAUUUCUAGCCUCUGCUCCUCUAUUGAAUACUUGUGUGACAUAUGACAAGUCGUUGUCAUUUAUUUAUUGUUUGUUUCUCCUGAUCCCUAAAGAAUACAGAAAAGUGUAAAGAAGGCCUAAAUUAUCCAUAAUUCCCACCACUCUUCCUAUUUUGCUCUAUUUCCUUCUUAUCUCUCCUCUAUGCAUGUAGCACAGGUGGAAGUAGAUAUGCUGUAAAUAUUGUUUUGCGACCAUUUUCACUUAAUGUUUUAUGAACAUUGUCUUUGAUGAAAAUCUUUUAUACAGAAUUUUUUUAAAAAAAUUUUUAUUGAGGUAUAAUUUACAGACAGCAAAUGCACCGUUUUUUAAGUGCGUGGUUUUGAUGAGUUCUGACAACUGUGAGCACUCAGUAACCAUCACCACGGUCGGAUUUAGAACAUUUCCACCAUUCCCAGAAGUUCUGAACACUCCUUUGAAGUCAGUCCCCACAUUCCUCCGGGCCCAGGUGACCACGGAUGUGCUUCUACAGCCGGAUUUUUUUUCUUUUGAGGAAGAUUAGCCCUGAGCUAACUACUGCCAAUCCUCGUCUUUUCGCUGAGGAAGGCUGGCCCUGAGCUAACAUCCAAGCCCAUCUUCCUCUACUUUAUAUGUGGGAUGCCUGCCACAGCAUGGCUUGACAAGCAGUGCCAUGUCCGCACCCGAGAUCCGAACCAGAGAAUCCCAGGCCGCAGAAGCAGAAUGUGCGAACUUUACCGCUGCACCACCAGGCCACUACGGCCAGAUUUUGAAUGACCAUGUCAUGCUGCAUCGCAAGGAUGCCUUUCUUGGUUAGGCCAUUUCCCGAUUGUUGGCCACAAGGACAGUAUCUCACUUUUCCCUGUAAUGAAUUACAAUCCAAUGAACAAUCUUUGGUCAUACCUAUGCUUAUGUCCCUGGGAUAAAUGCUCAGACCUAGAGUUGUCGGAUCAAAGGGUACAUACGCACAGUUUUAAGCUUAUGAUAAAUAUUUGAGCAAGUCGCUUUUAAUCGCUCUGAGUCUCAGUUUAGCCAUUUGUAAAAUAGGGACUAAAAAUUCCAGCCUCAAGGAGUUGCGAGGAUGACGUGAGACAAGGUAUAAGGCAUUUCGAGUAACUCAUCAGCCCGGCUGCAAAUCCCUGGGGAGCAGAGUGGGAGGAGAGCCUGGGCCAGGUGGCUCUGGAUUUGAGUCCUGACUCGGCCCCUCUUCUGGCCGUGGCCCUGAGUGAGCUGCCUACCCUCAGCGGCCUCGCCGUUCUCAUGUGUCCAGUGGGAAGCAGGUUCCGUGCUCCCAGGGUUGCUGUGAAGGUUAAGUGAGAUUCUCCCCGUUGGAGCUCAGAGCACUUCCUAGCAGUGAUUAGUUCCGGUCAGGGUUUUCGGUUACAAAUAAAUAGGCACCACUCUGGUUAACUUAAGGAGAGGAGGAAGUUGUUGAAAGGAUAUUGGGUAGCUCACAGAAUCAACAGGAAGGCUAGAGACCCAGGCGUGCAAAACGAGCAGGAACUAAGGUAGAUUGGGCAGCUGAGCACACAGCCCAGGCCCUGCCCCAGGAAGUGUCUCGUUAGGACCUGCGCUGGCACUGCCGCCUCCCGGGCCUCGCUGCCCAGGCCGCCGCCAGACACCCGGCUGGUGUGGCUCCCGUCAUUGCGGGCCAUCCUCCUGUCCAUACCACACGCUCCAGAUUUCCAGUUCCAGAUGGAGGCAUCCAAGUGGCAGAGUCGGGCUUACAGACCAGAGCCCCGGCUGCCAGGGAAUGAGAUGAACAAACGUCUGCUUUCUUUCAGCUUCUGCUGGGCUGCGGGGGGAGAAGGGGGGGCAGUUCCCGGCUUCGUCCCCAAGCCCACAGAGUGUGAGAAUUCCCUAAAAUAGGCAGCAGGCUCAGACGCUGGGUUGCUAAAAGUGAUAAGUCCAUGACGCUAUUAUUUUUAAUAAUGUGAUGACUGAAUAAAUGUUUAGUGAAUUGUGUUUAUUCUAUAAACACAUGCUAAAUGCUAUAGGACAAGCAUCGUUUUAAAGAAACUUCUUCGUGAAUGCUCUGAUAAAAGUUAUGGCAGAUUUGCGCAUUUGGAAGGUGUCAUAUUGGGUUUUCUUCUCGUGGGAACAGGUCUGCAUAAACUUCUAGUGAUUUUAAGGUAUUCGGGUGUGCGUGUGUGUGUAUGGGGUUGGCAUGGAGAGGACACAGGGAGAAGAUAGAAUCUGUGAUCUACUGCAAAUGAGCACUCUUGAUCAAAUCUUCAAAUUCCACUGUCCAUUUCCUUUUGGUUUGAUUUGAUACAAUUUUUCACUAGAACUGGGCAAGUCCAGUUACCCAGGAUGAGGCAGAAAGUCAAGUUGGCCACAGGUAUGGGUAGCCUGGGGGCUGGUCUGAUUUCAGUGGGGGUCGGUUGAACAUAGUUAACAGCUGACUCCUGUUAUUUAUCUUCCAUAGCUAUGAUUUUUUGAGCCCUUAAUGGACAUUGCUUGUUUAAUUCUCACAAUCACCUGUGGUGGGAAAAUGGCGGCCCAGAGCAUAAGAAUAAUCUUUUCAAGGUCACACAGCUAGCAGGUGAAAGAUUGGGGAUUUGAAGCCAGGUCUGCCUGUGGUUGAAUUCAAGGCUCUUAGCUACAAGUGUAGCAAAGCAAACAGUGUGCACAUGGCUCUGGAGAGCUGGGGACAGGGCCACCGUGUCAACAGACAUGUUAGCCAGGUGGACAUAGCAUGAGGAUGAAGCGUGGGAGGCGAGCCCUCCAACAGUCAGCUCAGGCUUCCAGGGCAGAUUCCCAGGCCCAGGGAGGUGGACUAGCCAGUCAUAUGAGAUAUACUUAAAACUUGCUUGUUUUUGCCUUAAAAAUAUUUUGUUGUACUAGAUUGACUGACUAUUUGCAUAUAUGCAAAAUAUCCCUGCCUCUCAUCCCCCAUCCUUCCAGGCAACUAAUGGUACCAGUUUUUAUGUAUUCUGCCAGAGUUCUUUCUAUGCAUCCACAAACAUAAGUAAUGAUUCAUCUGUCCUUCUAUUUGCAACCUAAAUGGUAUCAUACUGUGUGCAUUGUUCUACCCUUCAGUGUGUUCGCUUAACAAUAUGUCUUGGAGAUCUUUCCAUGAUGGUAUACAUAGCUCUUCUUCAUUUUUUAACAGUUGCAUAGUUUUCCAGAGUGUGACCAUUCUAUGAAUAUACCAUAAUUUACUUAACAUGGUCUAUUAAUAAAG